rnacentral:rRNA from 1 species
AUACGUAGGCAGCAAGCGUUGUUCGGAGUUACUGGGCGUAAAGCGUGCGUAGGCGGUUCCGUCAGUUCGGUGUGAAAUCUCCCGGCUCAACUGGGAGGGUGCGCCGAAUACUGCGGGGCUUGAGCGCGGGAGAGGAAAGCGGAAUUCCUGGUGUAGCGGUGAAAUGCGUAGAUAUCAGGAGGAACACCGGUGGUGAAGACGGCUUUCUGGACCGCUGCUGACGCUGAGGCACGAAAGCGUGGGGAGCAAACAGGAUUAGAAACCCCGGUAGUCC